GAUAGAUGCCAAGCACGUUAAAGCACUGCUCAGUCAGCUCAGAGAAGGUCAGGUUGUGUUUCCCUAGACACAUCUUCCAGCGAUGCAGCUCAUCGGCAUACCUGAUAAAAGUUCAAACACACACAUACACACACGCACACGUGCUUGAUUUUAUAGACGGAAGUGAUUACAACACCUGUUUCCAAUUAUUUGGAUGGGGUUGGGCGGCACCGGAGCUUCAGUCGGGGUCGGUAACGUGGAAUCCGUAGCCCAGUGUGCAUGAAAACCUUUGGCCUCGAUGAAAAAGUCGGCGAAGAAACGUAUCACAAGCUCAUUGGUUGUGCUAUCGAUGACGGCAGGGAUUUUGGAGCCACAAAAGGGCCCUGUGAGGAAGUUGUGUUCCGUCGUAGACUACCACGUUGUCAUUGCACUGGCCAAAAAGGAUGCCAGCCUCUUCCACGUCAAAAUGAGUGAACGUCAAUUUAAUGGUCUUCCCCUUGGGAACGCGUAUGGUCCACAGACACAUGCUGUUAGC